rnacentral:rRNA from 1 species
AGUUUGAUCCUGGCUCAGGAUGAACGCUAGCUACAGGCUUAACACAUGCAAGUCGAGGGGAAACGACAUCGAAAGCUUGCUUUUGAUGGGCGUCGACCGGCGCACGGGUGAGUAACGCGUAUCCAACCUGCCCACCACUUGGGGAUAACCUUGCGAAAGUAAGACUAAUACCCAAUGACGUCUCUAGAAGACAUCUGAAGGAGAUUAAAGAUUUAUCGGUGAUGGAUGGGGAUGCGUCUGAUUAGCUUGUUGGCGGGGUAACGGCCCACCAAGGCGACGAUCAGUAGGGGUUCUGAGAGGAAGGUCCCCCACAUUGGAACUGAGACACGGUCCAAACUCCUACGGGAGGCAGCAGUGAGGAAUAUUGGUCAAUGGACGAGAGUCUGAACCAGCCAAGUAGCGUGCAGGAUGACGGCCCUAUGGGUUGUAAACUGCUUUUAUAAGGGAAUAAAGUGAGUCUCGUGAGACUUUUUGCAUGUACCUUAUGAAUAAGGACCGGCUAAUUCCGUGCCAGCAGCCGCGGUAAUACGGAAGGUCCGGGCGUUAUCCGGAUUUAUUGGGUUUAAAGGGAGCGUAGGCCGGAGAUUAAGCGUGUUGUGAAAUGUAGACGCUCAACGUCUGCACUGCAGCGCGAACUGGUUUCCUUGAGUACGCACAAAGUGGGCGGAAUUCGUGGUGUAGCGGUGAAAUGCUUAGAUAUCACGAAGAACUCCGAUUGCGAAGGCAGCUCACUGGAGCGCAACUGACGCUGAAGCUCGAAAGUGCGGGUAUCGAACAGGAUUAGAUACCCUGGUAGUCCGCACGGUAAACGAUGGAUGCCCGCUGUUGGUCUGAAUAGGUCAGCGGCCAAGCGAAAGCAUUAAGCAUCCCACCUGGGGAGUACGCCGGCAACGGUGAAACUCAAAUGAAUUGACGGAAGGG